rnacentral:misc_RNA from 1 species
GAAAUGCGAUAAGUAAUGUGAAUUGCAGAAUUCAGUGAAUCAUCGAAUCUUUGAACGCACAUUGCGCCCGCCAGUAUUCUGGCGGGCAUGCCUGUUCGAGCGUCAUUUCAACCAUCAAGCCCCGUGCUUGUGUUGGGGACCUGCGGCUGCCGCAGGCCCUGAAAACCAGUGGCGGGCUCGCUGUCACACCGGGCGUAGUAAUUACAUCUCGCUCAGGGCGUGCUGCGGGUUCCGGCCGUAAAAAGCCUUAUUUUACCCAAGGUUGACCUCGGAUCAGGUAGGAAGACCCGCUGAACUUAA